AAAGGUGGAGGCGGAAGUGACUGAUCAAUUCAGGGGCGUGGGGCUCCUUUAGGGCAAGAGGCGGUUCGGGCUCUUCAAGUGUUUAGAGAAAUUAUUUUAAUAAGAGUCUUCAGGCAGUUGCUUUUGGUAUUUUGUCUUGAGUUUCUCACUGUAAUCAAUAGGAAAGUUUUGCCCUGUGUAUGACCUCUUUUGGAGCGAUGAAACCAGAACAUAGCAUGGUAUGUGACAUGAGGGCUUGAUGACUGUGUUGACUGACUGCAUGUUAUGUCUGAGGAAUAGUCUUAGUGGAUUAUCCCAAACUUGACACAUCUUUUGCAAAAUGCUAUACAAAAAGAAGAUACAUGUGAUUAUGACAAGAUUCUCCACUUGGUGUGACCGGUCUGAUACAACCCAAGGCUGUGUGUCCAAAGGCAACUGCACU